GGGCCCGCACAAGCGGUGGAGCAUGUGGUUUAAUUCGAUGCAACGCGAAGAACCUUACCUACUCUUGAAAUCCAGAGAACUUUUCAGAGAUGAAUUGGUGCCUUCGGGAACUCUGAGACAGGUGCUGCAUGGCUGUCGUCAGCUCGUGUUGUGAAAUGUUGGGUUAAGUCCCGCAACGAGCGCAACCCUUAUCCUUGUUUGCCAGCGAGUAAUGUCGGGAACUCCAGGGAGACUGCCGGUGAUAAACCGGAGGAAGGUGGGGACGACGUCAAGUCAUCAUGGCCCUUACGAGUAGGGCUACACACGUGCUACAAUGGCGCAUACAGAGGGCAGCCAACUUGCGAAAGU
rnacentral:rRNA from 1 species